UUUUGAGGCAUGUUCUCCUCAUUUCAGAUAUCCCACCCCGGGUGCCCUACUCAGAGAACCAUCAUGUCACUUGGGACCCAUCGAGACCCAAAAAGCACUGAACCCAGGGACAGAAUUACUCCUUAAUAAAGUUGCAGGGUGCGUUGCCAGAUCCACCUGGAGAUUAAUCUUCCCCAUGAUGUUGUCCGUUGUUUGGCCUGCAUCAGAAAGAAGAUUGUGACUUGCAGACAGUGCCCAGAAAUAUGGCUUAUGCUACAACCAAAUGCUGGCAUUGUAGGAACAGAAAAGUGGUGCAUGCAGAUGAAAAGUGCCCUCAGGAGAAAUGCAGCUUGGAAGCAAGAUCCGAUGAGUGUCCCUCUACAAAGGCAGCUGCUGCUGUUUCCACCGUCUUUCCCUCCAUCAACAGAAGCCUAAGCGGCACCCAUCCACUCCCUGCAACCACCAGGCUGAGCCCAAUGAUACUCUGCAGGAAGCCACACCAGCAGUUCAGGAAGGUCAAACUGAUGGAACAAGUGGUCUGGCUGGAAGAGGCCUGUGGUGAAGGCAAUAGCUCAGUGUAUGGCUGAGCCCAGGCUGGGUCUUCCCAGCUUCACAGGGGGGGAUUGUCUGGCUCCUUGGCAUAAGCAUAUUUUAAAAGGAAGAUAGUGGAGUGGUCCCUACAAUCCAACCACAUUGGAUGGGAAAGAAAACUCCGUUCAGGGAGACCGGUUUUUCAGGCCAAUCACAGCAGAGGUGAGGCGGGGUGAUGCCCAAAGCAGCCCUCCCCACCUGCUCAACAGCCGCUGCUACUGCUAAUUUAGAGGCACAACCUUUUGUUGACAAAAUUCAUUAAGGCAGCCACUCUCUCCCGGCCAGAGCAGGGUUCAGAACUGGAUGUGAAUUGCAGGGCAGGCUGGGGAGAGAGGCCUCUGCCACAAGCACCAUCUUUCCUGUUCAAGACUGAGGUGCUGAUUUAACUCACCCUCCAGGCUGCAGUGGCGGCACCCAUUUCAGCAAAGCCGACAGACUUCCCUGGCACAGUUUCACAGCUGUGGAACUGUGCUGGCCCCACUGAAAUGCCACAGGGAGCUGGGCCUGAAGGGGCUUGUCCUUCAGGCAGCAUCAGGCCUCCCUUCCCCAAGCCUGCUUCAGAAGAAGAACUCAAGGGCAGCAGGGCUCCAGGGGCUGCUGGGGCAGAGGGAUCUUUAGAAGUCCCCUGGGCAGCUCCUACCUCUGCAUGCAGCCCUUCUGUCUAGGGAGGAAGGCUCCCUGAUUAACUGGACAUCUCUGCAACUUGGCAGGCAAGAGGGCAGACUGUCUUAAAGGACCUGACUUAAUUACAGGUAGUCCUUGAUUUGCAACCAUUCAUUUAAUGACUGUUCAAAGUUACAAUAGCACUAAAAAAGUGCCUUAUGACUGUUUUUCACACUUAACGACCAUUGCAGCA